rnacentral:lncRNA from 1 species
CACAAAUGGGCGGCCAUUGGAUGUGGGACACGCCAAGAACUGGCAGCCAUUGGAGAUUUGGACAACCCAAGAUGGCGGCUAUUGGUGACACAAGAUGGCGGCCAUUGGGUUUGGACACCCAAGAUGGCGGCCAUUGGUGACACAAGAUGGCGGCCAUUGGCUUUGGACACCCAAGAUGGCGGCCAUUGGAUUUGGACACCCAAGAUGGCGGCUAUUGGUGACACAAGAUGGCGGCCAUUGAACAUGGACACUCAAGAUGGCGGCAUUGAAAAUUGGAAUAUUAGCUUUGGGGACAACAAGAUGGCGGCCAUUGGUGACACAAGAUGGCGGCCAUUGGCUUUGGACACCCAAGAUGGCGGCCAUUGCCAUUGGAUAUUGGCUUUGGUGACACAAGAUGGCGGCCAUUGGCUUUGGACACCCAAGAUGGCGGCCAUUGGUGACACAAGAUGGCAGCCAUUGGCUUUGGACACUGAAGAUGGCGGCCAAUGGACCCAUCAGAAAGCCAAUAUGGUCAUAAAUUGGACCCAAUCGAGAAACCAAUUGGACCCAUCAGAACCCUUGGGACCCAUCAGAACCCAUUGGACCCAUCAGAACCAAUAUUGGGUCAGCAUUGGACCCAUCAGAACCAAUUGGACCCAUCAGAACCCAUUGGACCCAUCAGAACCCAUUGGACCCAUCAGAACCCAUUGGACCCAUCAGAACCAAUUGGACCAUCAAAACCCAUUGGACGCACAGAACCAAUUGGACCCCCAUCAGAACCAGUAUGGUCAGUAUCGGACCAUCAGAACCCAUUGGUCAGCAUUGGACCAUCAGAACCAAUUGGACCCAUCAGAACCCAUUGGACCCAUCAGAACCAAUUGGGACCCAUCAGAACCCAUUGGGACCCAUCAGAACCCAUUGGACCCAUCAGAACCCAUUGGGACCCAUCAGAACCCAUUGGGACCCAUCAGAACCAAUUGGACCCAUCAGAACCCAUUGGGACCCAUCAGAACCCAUUGGGACCCAUCAGAACCAAUUGGGACCCAUCAGAACCAAUUGGACCCAUCAGAACCCAUUGGACCCAUCAGAACCAUUGUGACCCCAUGCAGAACCAAUGUGGACCCCAUCAGAACCGCAUUGCGGAACCCA